CGUGUAGGCGGCUAGGCAAGUCAGAUGUGAAAUCCCUUGGCUCAACCAAGGAAGUGCAUUUGAAACUGCUUAACUAGAGUACAGGAGGGGAAAGUGGAAUUCCCAGUGUAGAGGUGAAAUUCAUAGAUAUUGGGAGGAACACCGGUAGCGAAGGCGGCUUUCUGGCCUGAUACUGACGCUGAGACGCGAAAGCGUGGGGAGCGAACAGGAUUAGAUACCCUGGUAGUC
rnacentral:rRNA from 1 species